rnacentral:rRNA from 1 species
UAGGGAAUUUUGCGCAAUGGGGGCAACCCUGACGCAGCGACGCCGCGUGAGUGAAGAAGGCCUUCGGGUUGUAAAGCUCUGUCAGGAGGGAUGAAUAAUGGGUGUCAAACAGGCACACCAGAUGACAGUACCUCCAGAGGAAGCACCGGCUAACUCUGUGCCAGCAGCCGCGGUAAUACAGAGGGUGCAAGCGUUAUUCGGAAUUACUGGGCGUAAAGCGCAUGUAGGUGGGCUAUCAAGUCAGGUGUGAAAUCCCGGAGCUCAACUUCGGAAUUGCACUUGAAACUGGUAGUCUUGAGUCUGGAAGGGGUAAGCGGAAUUCCUGGUGUAGAGGUGAAAUUCGUAGAUAUCAGGAGGAACACCGGAGGCGAAGGCGGCUUACUGGUCCAGCACUGACACUCAGAUGCGAAAGCGUGGGGAGCAAACA